rnacentral:misc_RNA from 1 species
GAAAUGCGAUAAGUAGUGUGAAUUGCAGAAUUCAGUGAAUCAUCGAAUCUUUGAACGCACAUUGCGCUCUCUGGUAUUCCGGGGAGCAUGCCUGUUUGAGUAUCAGUAAAUCUUCUCAUACCACUCCAUUUUUGGACGUAUGGAUAUGAGUCUUCCCAGGCGAAGGCAACUUCAGCAACUGGGUGACUUGAAAUUCAUGGUUUGGCUGGACUCUUAAGAUUCUGGUGGCCGAAAAGCGCGACAAGAACUGGACUGGCUCUGGCCUGUACAAAAAGUUUAAACUCCGCUGACCUCGGUGCCAGAGAUAUAUCUAGGAGUUAAAUCCAUCGCCUUCUCAAUCUAUUACACAGUUGUGCCUCGGGGCACUUUCUGUGAACUUGAUCUCAAAUCAGGCAAGACUACCCGCUGAACUUAA